AAAAGGGUCUGCUUUGAGCCAGGUAAUCCACAGAUAGGCUCAUAGGAUAAGGACAUGUCGGAGAUGGCAAACGUGAAUCAGCGACGAUCUGAGCAAAAACCUUCAAGGUCAGACCUUGAAUCUUCCAAUAGCAUGUGUACAAGAGCACAUGGAGGUGUGUACAGGCCACACAGGGCUUGAGGAUGCCAUGGAUUCCAGUGAAAUAUGGUGGAAUGCGGUGGGAGAAAGCUAGGGUUUCGGAGGGGCUAGAGAGAGUUGAAGAGGACGUGGGUUUGAAGGCGGC
rnacentral:lncRNA from 1 species